AGGACGAACGCUGGCGGCGUGCUUAACACAUGCAAGUCGAACGAUGAAGCCCUUCGGGGUGGAUUAGUGGCGAACGGGUGAGUAACACGUGGGCAAUCUGCCCUUCACUCUGGGACAAGCCCUGGAAACGGGGUCUAAUACCGGAUAACACUCCUGCCUGCAUGGGCGGGGUUAAAGCUCGGCGGUGAAGGAUGAGCCCGCGGCCUAUCAGCUUGUUGGUGGGGUAAUGGCCCACCAAGGCGACGACGGGUA
rnacentral:rRNA from 1 species